GACGAACGCUGGCGGCGUGCUUAACACAUGCAAGUCGAACGGAAAGGCCCUGCUUUUGUGGGGUGCUCGAGUGGCGAACGGGUGAGUAACACGUGAGUAACCUGCCCUUGACUUUGGGAUAACUUCAGGAAACUGGGGCUAAUACCGGAUAGGAGCUCCUGCUGCAUGGUGGGGGUUGGAAAGUUUCGGCGGUUGGGGAUGGACUCGCGGCUUAUCAGCUUGUUGGUGGGGUAGUGGCUUACCAAGGCUUUGACGGGUAGCCGGCCUGAGAGGGUGACCGGCCACAUUGGGACUGAGAUACGGCCCAGACUCCUACGGGAGGCAGCAGUGGGGAAUAUUGCACAAUGGGCGGAAGCCUGAUGCAGCAACGCCGCGUGCGGGAUGACGGCCUUCGGGUUGUAAACCGCUUUCGCCUGUGACGAAGCGUGAGUGACGGUAAGGGGUAAAGAAGCACCGGCUUACUACGUG
rnacentral:rRNA from 1 species